rnacentral:rRNA from 1 species
UGGGGAAUUUUGGACAAUGGGGGAAACCCUGAUCCAGCCAUCCCGCGUGUGCGAUGAAGGCCUUCGGGCUGUAAAGCACUUUUGGCAGGAAAGAAACGUCGCGGGUUAAUACCCCGCGAAACUGACGGUACCUGCAGAAUAAGCACCGGCUAACUACGUGCCAGCAGCCGCGGUAAUACGUAGGGUGCAAGCGUUAAUCGGAAUUACUGGGCGUAAAGCGUGCGCAGGCGGUUCGGAAAGAAAGAUGUGAAAUCCCAGAGCUUAACUUUGGAACUGCAUUUUUAACUACCGGGCUAGAGUGUGUCAGAGGGAGGUGGAAUUCCGCGUGUAGCAGUGAAAUGCGUAGAUAUGCGGAGGAACACCGAUGGCGAAGGCAGCCUCCUGGGAUAACACUGACGCUCAUGCACGAAAGCGUGGGGAGCAAACAGGAUUAGAUACCCUGGUAGUCCACGCCCUAAACGAUGUCAACUAGCUGUUGGGGCCUUCGGGCCUUGGUAGCGCAGCUAACGCGUGAAGUUGACCGCCUGGGGAGUACGGUCGGCAAG